UCUUCAUUGCAUUUUCAAAUAAUUUUGAGAUACCAAGAUACAUGUCAUCUUAGGGAUUAACAAUUGCCUCUGUCUCUUCUGGAAUCUGACUCACAUUAUUUUCUGUGGCUCUGGAAUAGUUCUUCUGAUGAUGAUAAUAAAUCAUAGUAUCUUUUUCAAUAAUUUGCUGCCUCAUAAUCCUGAUAAGAUUGUUAAUCUUUAUUAUUGCCUGUCUAGACUCUCGCAUCUGGGGGUUGAUUAUGAGAAACCCGACCUGUACAUUAAUUUCUCUCUAGUUUGUUUUCAAGCUUAUUAACUCAAAUUUAUAAACCAAUUUCUGUUUAUAUGCCCCUAGAACAAGAAUGUUACACUGAAAUUGUUUCAGAGGCUCGACGUACAUAGUAACUGGUGAUUAAUAAAGGAUGCUUUAAGUGAUUCAACUAUUCACCUUUUGGGGGACAAAUACAGACCAGGGGUGAGCUAUGUGGUAGACGGAAGGUACCGAGCUCCUGAUAAUCAUGUUUAUUGUGAGUAGGACACACUCAAGCGUUAAAAUCAUGCCAAUCGGUGUAUUCUGAUCUUAUCCUUCUUCAUACUGCACAGAACCAUGUACUGUCUCUGCAUCAUAUUACUAUAAUAUGAUGUUUCUUCAUACUUUUUUUUGCUAUUGUUGGACUUUCCCAGCCUGACUUAUUUUCCUUGAAAAUAGACAUUGUCUUCAUCUAGCACAGUAGUCAAUACAAGCAUAUGUGCAGCACUUAAUGAAUGUUAUUAACUUGCAGAUUUGGAGGGUCAAGUCCGGCUAGGCUGUUCUGGGUGGGCUCUGCAGUCAUCUGGAGCGUGCCAUGUCAAGAUCAAACUUCUCAUGCUCUUUUCCUGCUGCAAAAUACCCUAAUACAGAACAAUUUAAGGGAAUCUACGAGUAGAAGCAGGCUGCAUUGACUUUAUGCAGUUCACACUCCUGUCCUGAACUAUUAUAUGCCCUGAGAUACAGAAGUGCACAAGACCAACAAGAUCCAUGAGCUUACAUCUGAAGGCAAAGAAAGCUGGAAAAUCUGAUGAAGUAAGUGAUUUUACAUGUUAAUGAUGAGCUUUGUAGAUCAUUCUUUAAUAUAGUACAGUGAUUGGCAGAUGUUCUAAUUAACAGCAUCUUAUUUGCUUUAUUGAGCUUUGAAAUUAAAUUCUGAGAACUCUCAUAUGAGUAUCUUCUGUAUUUUACAUGUUGAUCCUUUCAGUAGUUUAAAAAUUAUCCCAUAACCUUGCUCUUAACAAGAUUUUUACACAUUUUUAAAUAAGGGAAAGCAUACAUACAUCAGCUUCAGGUACAAAAAGUGAGCUAUACAAUCGUGUGUCGUUAAUGAGAGAAAUAAAUUCUGAGAAAUGCAUUUUUAGGCGAUUUAAUCAUCACGCACCUCCUAGAGAGUACAUACCCAAAUCUGGGUGGUCUAGACUACUACUCACCUAGGUUAUAUGGUAUAGUCUAUUGCUCCUAGGCUACAAACCUGUUACUGUACUGAAUACUGCAGGCAACUAUAACACAAUGCUAUUUGCAAUACAAACAUAUCUAAAAAUAGAAAAGGUGCAGUAAAAAUAUGAUAUGAUAGUCUUAUGGGACCACCAUUGUAUAUGUGGCCCAUCGCUGAC
rnacentral:lncRNA from 1 species